rnacentral:rRNA from 1 species
UACGGAGGGAGCUAGCGUUGUUCGGAAUUACUGGGCGUAAAGCGCGCGUAGGCGGCUUUGUAAGUUAGAGGUGAAAGCCCGGGGCUCAACUCCGGAACUGCCUUUAAGACUGCAUCGCUUGAAUCCAGGAGAGGUGAGUGGAAUUCCGAGUGUAGAGGUGAAAUGCGUAGAGAUGCGGAGGAACACCGAUGGCGAAGGCAGCCCCCUGGGCCAAUACUGACGCUCAGGCACGAAAGCGUGGGGAGCAAACAGG